AUGGAUGUGGCUGCCUCCGAGUUCUACAGGUCUGGCAAGUAUGACCUGGACUUCAAGUCUCCGGAUGACCCCAGCAGGUACAUCACGCCCGACCAGCUGGCUGACCUGUACAAGUCCUUCAUCCAGAACUACCCAGUGGUGUCCAUCGAAGAUCCCUUUGACCAGGACGACUGGGGUGCCUGGCAGAAAUUCACGGCUAGUGCGGGCAUCCAGGUGGUGGGCGAUGACCUCACAGUGACCAACCCUAAGCGGAUUGCCAAGGCCGCGAGCGAGAAGUCCUGCAACUGCGUCCUGCUCAAAGUGAACCAGAUUGGCUCCGUGACUGAGUCCCUGCAGGCGUGUAAGCUGGCCCAAUCCAAUGGCUGGGGCGUCAUGGUGUCCCACCGAUCUGGGGAAACUGAGGACACUUUCAUCGCAGACCUUGCCGAUCUGAGCGCCUGGCCAAGUACAAUCAGAUUCUUAGAAUUGAGGAAGAGCUGGGCAGCAAAGCCAAGUUUGCUGGCAGGUCCUUCAGGAACCCCCUGGCCAAAUAAAGCACGGACUGGAGAUCUCUGGAGCCACCAGCUGCUAGGUCCUCUGUCCCUGAUGUCAUCCAGGCGGCUCAAGGCCAGCCCAGUGCGUGCCCCUCCCAUGUCA